GGCCCGUUGGCGCAACGGUAGCGCGUCUGACUCCAGAUCAGAAGGUUGGGUCU
rnacentral:tRNA from 1 species